UUUAAAGAGAGUUUGAUCCUGGCUCAGGACGAACGCUGGCGGCGUGCCUAAUACAUGCAAGUCGAACGAACGGAGGAAGAGCUUGCUCUUCCAAUGUUAGUGGCGGACGGGUGAGUAACACGUGGGCAACCUGCCUGUAAGUUGGGGAUAACUCCGGGAAACCGGGGCUAAUACCGAAUGAUAAGAUGUGGCGCAUGCCACGCCUUUGAAAGAUGGUUUCGGCUAUCGCUUACAGAUGGGCCCGCGGUGCAUUAGCUAGUUGGUAGGGUAAUGGCCUACCAAGGCAACGAUGCAUAGCCGACCUGAGAGGGUGAUCGGCCACACUGGGACUGAGACACGGCCCAGACUCCUACGGGAGGCAGCAGUAGGGAAUCUUCCGCAAUGGACGAAAGUCUGACGGAGCAACGCCGCGUGUAUGAAGAAGGUUUUCGGAUCGUAAAGUACUGUUGUUAGAGAAGAACAAGG
rnacentral:rRNA from 1 species